GGUCGUGAUCUUUGACUUCGAAUGCUAUUUUCACCAGAUGCUUGUUCAAGUUCAACAGUCAAGCUCGGUGGGAGUAACAUUCGAAAUUAAUUACGAUC
rnacentral:pre_miRNA from 1 species